UGUGACUCUUGGAAACUGACUUCCUUUUAUUUAUGGAGCGUUUGAUAUCUUCUGGUUUGAGGACUAGUUUAGGCCAAAAAGAUGUUAGAAUCUUGGACACAAUAGGGGACAAUGGUACAGGAGACGUAGGAGUUGAAGCUGCCCAUUCCUCAGAGUCCCUAGCUGGAAUUAAUUAGUAAACCAAAUCCAUCUGAGGCAGUGGUUGUUGUGUAGAUGAUUUGGUAGCCUUUAGACUUUUCUGGGAAGAUUUAUUUGGUUCAACAAACUUUUCCAUAGUUCAGUGUAAUGCUUGGUUCACCAGCAUUAGAUAUAAGAUAAUUACAAUCCUUAGGAAGACUUAUACAGAAUCGUCAGGAAAUUGAGCCAAGCAGAUAGAUGAGACCCAGACCAGGAGAUAGUACCAAUGGAUGCCCUCCAUUUUAGUUAUGUAUUACCUUUGGUCAAAGUAAAACAAAACAAAAAAGCAUUUGCAGUUCAAUGAGGCAGCAUUCCUCCUGUUGGCCCCAUGGACUCAAAAGGGCAUAAGGUAUGCAUUGUGGC